rnacentral:rRNA from 1 species
UACGUAGGGGGCGAGCGUUGUCCGAAGUUACUGGGCGUAAAGCGCGCGUAGGCGGGGGGUUAAGUGAGAGGUGAAAGGCUGGGGCUCAACCUCAUGCAGUGCCUCUCAUACUGGCCUUCUUGAGGGCGGUAGGGAGAAGUGGAAUGGCUGGUGUAGCGGUGAAAUGCGUAGAUAUCAGGAGGAACACCGGUGGCGAAGGCGGAUCUCUGGGCCUUACCUGACGCUCAGGCACGAAAGCUAGGGGAGCGAACAGG